rnacentral:lncRNA from 1 species
UGUUUCCUUUUCUGAGGUCCUGCGAGUCUUCUUCUAGCAAGUAAAGGAGAGAUGCAAACUUUCCCAUUUACUGUCCUUUUUUUUUUUUUUUUUUUUUUUUUUUCCAGAUCGUUUGCCCAUGGGGUGCCAUUUUUUUUUUUUUUUUUUUUUUAAGAUUUUUUUUUGGGCAUGAAAAUUGCACUAAUUUUCCAGGAUGUUGGAAGAAAUUACAAAAUCUUGAAAACGGACAGACUUUCAGGGCAGAUUACCAGGAGACAGCUUUUACAAUGAGUGCACUGGAAAGAGGAAGGAAAAAGUCAUUUUGCUGCUUCAUGUGUUGCCUACACAGCGACUGUUACAGUGGUUUCAGCAGAGUCAGUGGUGGUGUCAAGAGCAUCUGGAACAGAGACGGCAGCUUAGUUCAUAUGAAGCAGCAAUAGCAACAGAAGAAGAGGCAGUGACAUCACCCUCAGUUUGUUGGGGAAUGUCUGCAACCAUCAGUUCUCCUCUGUUGCUAAGAGCUCCAGCACAGCAUUGUCUUCUGUUAAAUGAAGCAGCAUGAAUGAACCCAGCU